rnacentral:rRNA from 1 species
AACGAACGCUGGCGGCAUGCCUAACACAUGCAAGUCGAACGAAACCUUCGGGCCUAGUGGCGCACGGGUGCGUAACGCGUGGGAACCUGCCCUUAGGUUCGGAAUAACUCCCCGAAAGGGGUGCUAAUACCGGUUAAUGUCUUCGGACCAAAGAUUUAUCGCCUCUGGAUGGGCCCGCGUUGGAUUGGCGAGUUGGUAGGGUAAAAGCCUACCAUGGCGACGAUCCAUGGCUGGUCUGAGAGGAUGAUCAGCCACACUGGGAAUGAGACACGGCCCAGUCUCCUACGGGAGGCUGCGGUAGGGAGUAUAAGGCAAGGAGCGAAAGCCUGGUACAGCAAUGCGGGGGGUGUGAUGAAGGGCUUAGUGUUGUAAAGCUGUUUUUCCCGAGGUGAUAAUGACAGUACCGGGUGAAUAAGCUCCGGCUAACUCCGUG